rnacentral:piRNA from 1 species
GUGCUGAGAAUGGAACCCAGGGC